GACGAACGCUGGCGGCGCGCCUAACACAUGCAAGUCGAACGAGCGAGAGAGCUUGCUUUCUCGAGCGAGUGGCGAACGGGUGAGUAACGCGUGAGGAACCUGCCUCAAAGAGGGGGACAACAGUUGGAAACGACUGCUAAUACCGCAUAAGCCCACGGGUCGGCAUCGACCAGAGGGAAAAGGAGCAAUCCGCUUUGAGAUGGCCUCGCGUCCGAUUAGCUAGUUGGUGAGGUAAUGGCCCACCAAGGAAACGAUCGGUAGCCGGACUGAGAGGUUGAACGGCCACAUUGGGACUGAGACACGGCCCAGACUCCUACGGGAGGCAGCAGUGGGGAAUAUUGCACAAUGGGGGAAACCCUGAUGCAGCGACGCCGCGUGGAGGAAGAAGGUCUUCGGAUUGUAAACUCCUGUUGUUGGGGAAGAUAAUGACGGUACCCAACAAGGAAGUGACGGCUAACUACGUGCCAGCAGCCGCGGUAAAACGUAGGUCACAAGCGUUGUCCGGAAUUACUGGGUGUAAAGGGAGCGCAGGCGGGAAGACAAGUUGGAAGUGAAAUCUAUGGGCUCAACCCAUAAACUGCUUUCAAAACUGUUUUCCUUGAGUAGUGCAGAGGUAGGCGGAAUUCCCGGUGUAGCGGUGGAAUGCGUAGAUAUCGGGAGGAACACCAGUGGCGAAGGCGGCCUACUGGGCACCAACUGACGCUGAGGCUCGAAAGUGUGGGUAGCAAACGGGAUUAGAUACCCUGGUAGUCCACACCGUAAACGAUGAUUACUAGGUGUUGGAGGAUUGACCCCUUCAGUGCCGCAGUUAACACAAUAAGUAAUCCACCUGGGGAGUACGACCGCAAGGUUGAAACUCAAAGGAAUUGACGGGGGCCCGCACAAGCAGUGGAGUAUGUGGUUUAAUUCGACGCAACGCGAAGAACCUUACCAAGUCUUGACAUCCCUUGACAGGCAUAGAAAUAUGUAAUCUUUUCGGAGCAAGGAGACAGGUGGUGCAUGGUUGUCGUCAGCUCGUGUCGUGAGAUGUUGGGUUAAGUCCCGCAACGAGCGCAACCCUUAUGGUCAGUUACUACGCAAGAGGACUCUGGCCAGACUGCCGUUGACAAAACGGAGGAAGGUGGGGAUGACGUCAAAUCAUCAUGCCCUUUAUGACUUGGGCUACACACGUACUACAAUGGCGUUAAACAAAGAGAAGCAAGACCGCGAAGUGGAGCAAAACUCAGAAACAACGUCCCAGUUCGGACUGCAGGCUGCAACUCGCCUGCACGAAGUCGGAAUUGCUAGUAAUCGUGGAUCAGCAUGCCACGGUGAAUACGUUCCCGGGCCUU
rnacentral:rRNA from 1 species